rnacentral:rRNA from 1 species
UGGGGAAUAUUGCACAAUGGGCGCAAGCCUGAUGCAGCCAUGCCGCGUGUGUGAAGAAGGCCUUCGGGUUGUAAAGCACUUUCAGCGAGGAGGAAGGUGGUGAGCUUAAUACGCUCAUCAAUUGACGUUACUCGCAGAAGAAGCACCGGCUAACUCCGUGCCAGCAGCCGCGGUAAUACGGAGGGUGCAAGCGUUAAUCGGAAUUACUGGGCGUAAAGCGCACGCAGGCGGUUUGUUAAGUCAGAUGUGAAAUCCCCGGGCUCAACCUGGGAACUGCAUUUGAAACUGGCAAGCUAGAGUCUCGUAGAGGGGGUAGAAUUCCAGGUGUAGCGGUGAAAUGCGUAGAGAUCUGGAGGAAUACCGGUGGCGAAGGCGGCCCCCUGGACGAAGACUGACGCUCAGGUGCGAAAGCGUAGGGAGCAAACAGGAUUAGAUACCCUGGUAGUCCACGCUGUAAACGAUGUCGAUUUGGAGGUUGUGCCCUUGAGGCGUGGCUUCCGGAGCUAACGCGUUAAAUCGACCGCCUGGGGAGUACGGCCGCAAGGUUAAAACUCAAAUGAAUUGACGGGGUCAUAGCUGUUUCCU